GAUGUCGUCUAUUUCGUCCAGCCGUGGAAUUAGAUUUCCCGCUACUUAGUUGCUAUAAAUUUGUUGGUAUACACCGAAUUAGGCUAUGUUUUGGUUCAUUGUCCUAUAAUGUGAAACAUUACGUUCACGGGUUUUUAUACAACGCAGAAGAAAAGUCGAUAAAAAGCGCCACCUAUUUUUGAAAAUCUUUAAUUUCAACAAAUUUUUGUCAUAUUUAUAGAACAUGGUCGGUAAAAGUAAUUUCGACAAGCGUGCUGCUGAUUUUGAGAUUAGAUUUUUGUUUUGUUUUCAUGAAAAUGUUCCAGAAAACAAUUUCAAAUUUAUCUGCGAGGGUUCCUCGCAUUGACGUCCGAUUUUGAGUAUGUUCCAUUUUUAUUUAUUGCAUGUUGUAAUCAUGAAAGUAUAUUGGGGAUCGUCCAUUACAUAUUUUUUUGGCGAGUGGAUGACAAAUAAAUUUUGUCUCAUAAAUUGCCAGGUUCACUAAUUUAGUUUUAUUUCAUGAAUGUAGUUAAGUCCAUUCACGACUGCAAACUCAAAAAGUUUACUGUAAGAAUGAUUCGCAUGUACGGCAGAAAACUCACUUUUGAGUUUACAAUUGUGAAUCGACUAAAGCAAAUUCCUGCUACAGUCUUUGUCACCGAUUAAAAAAUAGCACUUACAUUUUGAAUGCGCAAACUAAAAUAUGGAAAAAUCUAUCAUACAGGGUGUCUCAUCCUUUGCUUGACGAAACCCAUAUAACUGAUAUUUCAAAUCUGUAUGAGGGUCAAGCCAAAUACAUCAAAGUUGGUGGUUACCCUAUAAACUGAAGGUAAAUUGAAAAAAAAUGUGUUGGCUCUCAUUAGGGAGUCAGCUUAACUUUUUUGAGAACAAAGGCUGCGGGGAA
rnacentral:misc_RNA from 1 species